CAGGAAAUCCUCAUCAGCUAUUCUGCAGAUAUAUUUUCGAAAUAUCGGAAGUUGUGGAUCAACCUGAGCGAAUUAUUGCAAUCUUUGGGAAACGCAUAUGCAAGAACCUAUUCUACUUACUCUCAAAGUUAGUACGAAAGGGGUAAUCAACUCAAGUGCACUCAAAUAUGGCAUGAUAUGGCCAAAGUUCCGAGGCUAUUAUAUACAUAUAUACUUUUUCGUCGAUUCAUCAGAUGUUGUCAUCAUCCAUGCCUCUGCACCGUAUAGCAGGACGGGUAUAAUGAGUAACUUGCAUUCUGUCAAAUAAGUACCUGGAAAUUUUCAUUUUAAAUUUUCCCGCUAAGAAUAUUUAAAAAAUUUUUUUCCCAGGUUUGCACAAAUGUCAGCCAUUAUUCUGUCAAUUUUUAUUGCUAUGUGUAAUUUAGUUUGUUUACGGCGUCAUUAGGAACAAGCCAACAUUUUGUGUGCGUUGCUGGUAAAAAUAUUGAACAAAGAGUUUGUGUGAAAUUUUGUGUUUCAAACGAAAUUUCUUGUGCCAAACCGUUGGAAAUGUUGAAAAAACAUUUGGUGAUUCAACCAUGUUGAAAACCCAAGUUUCCGAUUGGUAUAAAUCAUUCAAAGAGGGGCGAGAAGAAGUGAACGAUUUGCCACGUUCAGGACGGUUUUCGACUUCUUCAACUGAAGAAAACGUCGAUAAAAUAAAGGAAAUGGUGCUCGAAAACCGUCAUUAUAGUUUGCGAGAUAUAGCCCGAAUAAUGAACAUGUCUCAUGAGACCGCUCGUCAUAUUUUGGUUGAUGUUUUGGGUAAGCGGAAAGUCGCAGCGUGAUUGGUGCCAAAAGAUUUUGCACCACGAUAACGCACCAGCGCACAAAGCGAUCAUUGUGAACGAGGUUUUGAACAAAAAUUCAACAAAUAUCAUCGAACAACCACCGUACUCUCCAGAUAUGGCCCGGUGUAACUUUUUCCUGUUUCCAAAACUCAAAUUACCACUUCGUGGAACCCGUUUUGAGAGCAUUGAAGACAUCAAAACUAAUUCGCAACGAGAACUGAAGGCCAUCCCGGAAUAUAGCUUUUAAAUGGUUUCGAUGAUUUCAUUGUUCGUUGGAAAAAGUGUAUUGCUUCGAAAGGGGCCCAUUUUGACGGGGAUAUAAUAAAUGUAGAUGAUUGAUAAGUUGUAUGUGUUUCAUAUAAAAUUUCCGGCACUUAUUUAACAGAA